GGUGGGCCAGGAAGGCAACCAGCCAGAGAUCAAGAUUGCACCUGUCCCAAGACUGGAAGACUGGGUAUAAAAACAGAACAGUGGACACAACUCCAAGAGAAGGUUUUGACCAAAUGUCUUGAAUCAUAGAAGAUUUGACUGUAAACCUACUCCACAGUUUCUAUUCGGUGGAUGAUUUUGCUGAACUGAGCUAAGAUAGAAUUGGAUAUUGAAGAGCUAAAGUGUGUUGACUUUUAAAAAUUUUUUAUAAGCUCAACUUUGAUUUUAGAUUCAGGGGAUACAUGUGCAGGUUUGUUACAUGGCUGUAUUGCGUGAUGCUGAGGUUUGGCGUGUGAAGGAUCCUAUCAUCCAGAAUCCUCCAAACAACCUCAAUGAUCAGCCAAGUGGAGCUGGGGAAGUGGAGCUCUGCACCCAAGCUGAGCUCCAAGUGCCAAGAGCAAAUAGAAGAGCUGGGAAAAGAAGCAACUUGUCAGCUGUAUUUCUGCGAACUCUCGGUUCUCUGGCCUUCAGACUCCAGGACUUGCAGCAGUCACUCCCUGCCCCUCGCAGGUUCUCAGGGCUUUGGCCUUGGCCUGAGAGUUACCCCGUUGGCUUUCCUGGGACCCGACCUUGCAGGACACACAUUGCGGGACUUCUCAACCUCCACAGUCACACUUUGAAUGUUUGAGACUACCUUGGCCACCAGAGUGUGUUACCUGGAAGUUUGGUCCCAAGCAAGAAGCCACUGGGAGAGACAGCAAGGCAACUGUAUGCACACGCAAUGAACACUGAGACUGAUAUCACUGAGACUUUCAGAGGACAAUGGACUCAUGGAUCUCAUGUCUUUCCUAGACUCUGUUCUUUGCCCUUGGGUCUUCUCUACUCAGGCUACCUGCCCCCAAAUGCUCCAUCCUCACCAAAAUAUAAAGAUUGAGAAGAAAGUGGGACAAAGGGUGUGGAAUAAAAAUGUAAGAUUGGCUAUCACCCCAAGGUGAUCAAAUCCAAUGUUGGCUUUGCUCCAGUGGAUCUGAGACCGAUUUCGUAUCAGUCCCAGAGCACAGCAAGGCUGUUCAGGCUCUUGUAAGUGAGGACCUGUGGUUGAAGAGUAAAUUUUUUGUGGCUUUAAUCCUUCUGUUCUCUGGGCUGGACGGUCAUGAUGGUACAGUGGGAAUACCUUGGGCCUGGCUGCCAGGUCGGCCUGCACAAAGAUGCCUGUCCCUGUGGGAGGGGUGCAGACAUUGUGCAGCUUGCACACAAGAACAGAACUAGGGUUUCUAGCAGCAGAAAUGAGUCAUACAGAGAGCCAUUUAGAGGUUGCUCAAUACAGUUCUUGGUUGAGUAAUGGCAAUUAGUGUGGAGGCAAAUUAGAACAACAGUGACAGUGUUGAUUACGAAGCAAAUGAAAAAGCGCAAAAGGAGAGCAUUUUCUUGGAGUGCCUCAAAGAAUUCUGCAUUUAAUUAUGUGCCCUCUCAGUGUUAGAGAGAGUGAGAUUUCAUUGGAAAACACUGGAGGGUCAUUUGUGGCGGAACAGAAGCCUCUGGUACAGACAGGAAGCAAAUGAAUGGCAGGGGAUGUGAGUUUGGGUGGAAGGGCUGUUAUGGGGACUCAGAUUGGAUUCCAGAGUCAGGUGCAUUGUGGUCCUUGCCUGAUGCAGGACGUUUGGACUCAGAUUUUUCUGAAGACAGCAUAAGCAGAGAAACAAGGUGUGAAGACAAGUUGGUGUGAGGACGUUGACACCAUGACAAAGUUAUUUACUCUACCCCGUCCCAGUGCCCAGAUGAACAAUAUGAACACGAUAGGGAUGCAGUUCACAUGCAUUCCAUUUUAGAGUUUGCUUUAAAAUUUUAUAUCCAUGUCGUAACCUCCUGAUUAGGAUUUGAGAGAACUGGUUGUCAAAAUGAACUAUAUUUUUAGGAAAGUGUUAUUUUGUGUUAUUCUGAUGCUAUAAAAGCCAAGGUUGUUACACUGAAGGACUCUGUAACAUGAGAAGUGUAUCAUAUUCUAAAUAUCCCCAGGGUGUCUCCUUUGACCUCAGCACUAACAGCUGAUAAUGGCGGGGAUUGCUAUUAUUUCACAUGUGACCAUCCAUGGUGAGACAUACUCACCCACCCAGGGCGAGGGGGAAGAGGGGAAGUUGCCACAUAUUUCCAGCUGGCAUAGUAAUUGUAGUAUUGAGAAGGUAAAAGAUUCAUAUCUAAUCAAAGAACCCCAGAUAAGUGUGUCCUGGGCUGUUGUCCCUGUGGCUUUAACAAGUCACUUGGUGAUGCACAAACUGAAUACAGCUGAACUCUGCCCAGGGCUGUGAUGACUGCUUUUCAUAGCUUUAAAUUCUAUUAAAAACCAGAAUGAAAAUGCUUCUUGUAAAAUGCUUUUCUCUUAAAAACAUAAACAAGAUGAUAUAAUUUAUCCAGAGUUGGGGAAAUACAUCCAGUUUAAAUUUUAUAUACAUUUAAAGGCAGCCUACUUAUAACAGAAAUGAGCUAUCUAGCUCUCUCUCUCUCUGUCUGUCUAUCUAUCUAUCUAUCUAUCUGUCUGUCUUCAUGAUCAUUGUCAUCACCUAUUGUAUUUGCUUUCUUUGCUCUGUAGUAAGUUACCACACACUUAGUGGUUUAAAUCAUCACCUAAUUAUUCUCUCACAGUUCCCUGACUCAGAAGUCUGUGGAGGUUCAGCUGGGCUCUCUACUCAGUGUCUCACAAGGCUGAAAUCAAGAAGUCGGCCCAAUGAGGCUCUUCCCUGGAGGCUUGGAGGAUGAAUCCCUUUCAAGUUUCUUCAGGUGGUUGACCAAAUCCAAUUUCUCACAAUUGUAAGACUAAAGCACCUGUGUCCUUGUUGGAUGUUGGCCAGGGGUUGCUCUCAGCUGCUGGGGUUUCCCUUGGCUCCUAAAAGCCUCUGUCUUAUCUCUGAAUGUGGCCCUGUUCUAAAAUAUAGUGUAUUAAUAGAAAAUUUGAGACUCAGUAAAGCCAACAGACUGGGAGAUAAUUGCCAUUAAAAAUACCGUUUGUUGGCCACAGUUCCCAGAAGAGCAGGUUACACCACAUCACAGGUGGCCACCAAGUGGAUCAGGAGGAAGAGGGAGCAGGAGAAAUGUGGGCAAGAGCCUUCACUGUGGUUGCCAUCAGGAGGGAACAGGUGAAGCAGGGGAGCACGCUCCAGAUUGGUGAGUUUGAAUAAUUUCAGCAGGCUCUGAAGCUUAGGGGCUGUCUCCGGUUGUGGGACCAGUGCAAUUUUCCCAUAGAACUGAAGCUUUAGAAACUUACAUUUGUUUAAUCUGAGUUCCUUUCUCAGGAAACUAAUAGGCCAUCCAGAUAGUACAGUAUCAGGAAACUGAAAUUUCCCAGAUUACUGUAUCUGGACAAUAAGAUGCACCUGCUGCCUGUUAACAAAACUCCUCUUUCUUGUGCCUCCUUAAUUCCCUGCUAUGUAAACCCUUUACUUUAAUCAGAGAUGAAUUUGAGAUUGAUCUUCUGUUUCUGGCUGACGUCACCAGCAUAAAAUCUUUCUUUCCUGGUAACACUUGUUGUCUCAGUGAUUGACUUUCUGUGUGGUGAGCAACUGGACCUAAGCUGAACCCCUAGUUUUUGGCAGCAGUUGUCUGAUAUCUGGCCCUGGGAUGAUUAAGGCAGGGGUGCAUAGUGGUCUUGUGUGAAAAAAGGGAGAUAUUGAGGGUAUGUGCUCUAGAUUGGUUGAUUUGCAUUUAAAAGGCAUAUUUCAGGUGAGCUGUUUGCUAUGUUUAGAACUGGUUAGUCCUGGGAAGGGCAGUCUCUCCAGAGGCAGCCAGGCCCCAGAUGUUAAAGCAUUAAAAUACAGAAAAUAAAAGACAUGAUUAAUACAGUCACCUCCAUUUUCAAAGCCAGCAACCGUGCACGGAAUUCUUCUUGUGCCUUGAUUCUCUCUGACUUCUCAUUCUGCCCCCAUCCAGAGAAAACUCUGUUUUCAGGGCUCAUGUGUUUAGACUAGACCCACCUGGAUAACCUCCCUUCCAAGAAGUCAACCAUUAAAUAACCUUACUUACAGCUGCAAAUUUUCUUUUGCUGUGUGCAUGAUGUCGUCAUGGGAUGAUAUCCCAUUGCAUUCACAGUCCUGGAGAUUAGGGUAGAUUAAAUUAGGGCAUUGGUAGGCCAUGUUGGGAUUCCAUAUAUAUAUAUAUAUGGAAGAUAUGAAAGAAUUAUUAUAUAUACAGGAAGAUAUGGAAAAAUUAUAUAUAUAUAUAUAUAUAGUAGUGUUUGAUCAUUGACGAACAUUUGAGGCUAGGCAUGGCUCAGUGCUUUGGGAGGCCAAGGUGGGCAGGUAAGAUCAUUUGAGGCCAGGAGUUCGAGACCUGCCUGGCCAACAUGGCAAAAUCCCAUCUCUACCAAAAAUAUAAAAAUUGGCCAACGUGAUGGCAUGCACCUGUAAUCCCAGCUACUCAGGUGGCUGAGGUAUGAGAAUUGCUUGAACCGAGGAGGGGGAUGGAGGUUACAGUGAGCUGAGAUUGCACCACUGCACUCCAGCCUGCGCGACAGAGCAAGACCCUGCCCUGUCUCAAAAAAAAAAAAAAAAAAAAAAAAAUUGAAAAAAUAUGAAAAACUACACAGAGGAAAAUAAAAACCACUUAACAUUUUGUCACUAUGAAUAUGUUUCCUUUGAGUUUUUAUCAUCCAUAUUAUUUUCACAGCUAGAAUAAAAAUGUAUUCAUAGUAUGUGUCCUUUUGAAUUUCAAAUAUUUUUCCAUGUCAUUGUACACUCCUCGUAAUGGUAAUUGUUAGCAUCUGUAGAGUAAACAUUUACAAAUGAAUAACUUAAUAUUGGGUAUUUAAGUGAUCUCAAAGCUUUGUUAAUAUUUACGAUUAUUCUGAAGGAAGGUUCCUAGAAAUAGGAUUACUAGCUAGGAAGCUAUAAACAUUUAUGUCUCUUGAUUUAUGCUCUCAAAACAGCAGAAUCUGGUGUCUUUCUCUUUGCCUUCUUGUUUCCUUCCUGUAUCCCUCUCUCCUCCUUUUUUAGU
rnacentral:lncRNA from 1 species